rnacentral:rRNA from 1 species
CCUACGGGAGGCAGCAGUGAGGAAUAUUGGUCAAUGGCCGGAAGGCUGAACCAGCCAAGUCGCGUGAAGGACGAAGGUGCCAAGCAUUGUAAACUUCUUUUGUCAAGGGACAAAAUCAGGCUCGAGUGCCUGACCGAGGGUACCUUAUGAAAAAGCAUCGGCUAACUCCGUGCCAGCAGCCGCGGUAAUACGGAGGAUGCGAGCGUUAUCCGGAUUUAUUGGGUUUAAAGGGUGCGUAGGCGGAUAGUAAAGUCAGCGGUAAAAAUGCGGUGCUCAACGCAGUACAGGCGUUGAAACUGGCAGUCUUGAGUGCGCGAGAAGUAUGCGGAAUGCGUGGUGUAGCGGUGAAAUGCAUAGAUAUCACGAAGAACUCCGAUUGCGAAGGCAGCAUACUGGAGCGCGACUGACGCUGAGGCACGAAAGCGUGGGUAUCGAACAGGAUUAGAUACCCCUGUAGUC